rnacentral:rRNA from 1 species
UACGUAGGGUGCAAGCGUUAUUCGGAUUCACUGGGCGUAAAGGGUGCGCAGGCGGCCGUGUGUGUGAGGCGUGAAAGCCCGGGGCUUAACCCCGGAAUUGCACCUCAAACUACACGGCUAGAGCAUUGGAGAGGGUAGCAGAAUUCACGGUGUAGCAGUGAAAUGCGUAGAUAUCGUGAGGAAUACCAGAGGCGAAGGCGGCUACCUGGACAAUUGCUGACGCUCAGGCACGAAAGCGUGGGGAGCAAAAGGG